AACGUAGGUUCCGAGCGUUAUCCGGAUUUACUGGGCGUAAAGCGCGUUCAGGCGGUUCGGCAAGUCGGGCAUGAAAUCUCUCGGCUCAACCGGGAGAGGUUGUCCGAUACUGUUGGACUUGAGGGCGGUAGAGGGUGGUGGAAUUCCGGGUGUAGUGGUGAAAUGCGUAGAUAUCCGGAGGAACACCAGUGGCGAAAGCGGCCACCUGGACUGUACCUGACGCUCAAACGCGAAAGCUAGGGGAGCGAACGGG
rnacentral:rRNA from 1 species